GACGAACGCUGGCGGCGUGCUUAACACAUGCAAGUCGAACGGAAAGGCCCUGCUUUCAGGGUACUCGAGUGGCGAACGGGUGGGUAACACGUGGGUGGUCUGCCCUGCACUUCGGGAUAAGCCUGGGAAACUGGGUCUAAUACCGGCUAGGAGCCAUUUUUAGUGUGAUGGUUGGAAAGUUUUUUCGGUGUAUGAUGAGCUCGCGGCCUAUCAGCUUGUUGGUGGGGUAAUGUCCUACCAAGGCGGCGACGGGUAGCCGGCCUGAGAGGGUGGACGGCCACACUGGGACUGAGAGACGGCCCAGACACCGACGGGAGGCAGCAGUGGGGAAGAUUGACCAAGGGGCGCAAGCCUGAUGCAGCGACGCCGCGUGGGGGAUGACGGCCUUCGGGUUGUAAACUCCUUUCGCUAGGGACGAAGCUUUUUGUGACGGUACCUAGAUAAGAAGCACCGGCUAACUACGUG
rnacentral:rRNA from 1 species